GAAUGGAAAUGUGACCUUGCUGCAACAUCUGUCUGCCCACAGACAGGCAGGGUUGAUUCAACUGAUCUAACUGGCUAAGUGGAUGUCUCCUUUCUCCCUCACCAUUCCAUACGCAUCCCCCCUGAAACUGCAUGCUCUGUAGAAAAAGAAGACCCACAUGGAAGAGAGGAGGGCCAAUCUUCUUUCAAUAGUAUAUAAGUAGCUGUAUUCUUCUGGGAGAAGUUCCUAACAACCUUUCCAAAAACAAGUUAUUUUUAUUU
rnacentral:sRNA from 1 species